rnacentral:rRNA from 1 species
UGCGUAGGCGGAUUAAUAAGUCAGUGGUGAAAACCUGCAGCUUAACUGCAGACCUGCCAUUGAUACUGUUAGUCUUGAGUACGGUCAAGGUAAGCGGAAUGUGUAAUGUAGCGGUGAAAUGCUUAGAUAUUACACAGAACACCGAUUGCGAAGGCAGCUUACUGGGCCAUUACUGACGCUGAGGCACGAAAGCGUGGGGAGCGAACAGGAUUAGAUACCCUGGUAGUCC